rnacentral:lncRNA from 1 species
AGAAAAUUAUUUUAUUUUCAUAAUUCACAACAACACUCUGAAAAACACACGGUUUAUCUCUAAUAUAUAUACGGAAAUAUAUAAUUUCCUCAAAACGCUUGCAAACGACGAUUUUUGCAGUCUUAUUUGGGUCUUAGAAUCGGAUACCUGAUCAGAUGGUUAAAACGUUUGUUCCAUGAUAGUUAAUGCAAAUUUUUAAACAAUUUCCAACAACUAAUCCAAUUGGAAGCUACCAAUUUUAAAAUAACUUUUAUUACCUACUUACUUUUUAAUCGGGAUACAAGUUACUCAACAUUAUCUUAACAGCCUUUGCUUUAUUCAAUUACAUGGGGCAAACCUCAACAAGAGAUGGUUUUGAUAUUAUCAUAGAACACUCGUCGACAAAUUCCACGUAUAUACUUGGUUCCUAACGGACAAUUCAGGCUGUGAAGCCAGUUGAUGUAUAGACCUCCUGGAACGCCAUACUGGAUCACAUUUGGAUGUUGAGACUUCAUAUUGAUAAACUGAUGAUAAGGCACUUUUCCCGCUAAAAGACCGUGACUGAUCACCAAAAUCGUUACUAAUAGCCCAAGUAGAGCCAGUUUAGAAGCCAUUUUUGCGAGCUAAUCAAAUUGCACAUUUUUCAAGCAAAAACCUAAUGAGUUAAUAGAAAUUUUGUGCAUUGAAUGCUGUCCAUUACGCGGCGAAUUGAUUACAUGUGUUUGUUCAACCUUUGCCAUUCGCAUUGCGAUUACGAAAUGAAUAAGUCGAUUAAAACUAGGCACAAAAUCUAGUAAUCAAAAAAUACUUCAAAAUUUCCACAUUUAAAGUGCUAAUUCAGAAUUUAGUGGGAAAAAGAAACAUUUUCAAUGGCCGAUAAAAGCCCUCUUGAUACAUUGAUACACGAGAAUCUGUUCAGUUCCUUUUCUCGGGGAUCUAGAACAAUCGUAAAUAAACCUCUCAAGAUAAACCUGGGCAAAUAAAAAUAUUGUUUAACCGAAUUGAUAAAAUCUUGCACUUCAAAACCCGAUUUUCAUACAUAUAUCAAAGUUGCUGCCUUCAACUUCAGUGAAAGUUAAUCAUGAGGAGAAUGGGGUUUUUUGUCGGCAUUGUUGCCAUAGAUAAAGACGAGUACGUUACCACAAUGAAGAAUUGUACAAUAAUUACGCAUUACUGCUUGGUUUAUACCAACAAUAGGAAUUUGCGCAUAACGUAUAAGAUCUUGUCAUUCUGUUGUGUACUUUAGCUCACUUUAAACCCCAGUAGGCUAUGGAAAAAAGAUUCAUCAUACACUAUGUAAUGUAAUAAAUAAUGCUUAUCACCGGUUAAGCAAUUAUCUUA